UAGGGAAUCUUCGGCAAUGGGGGGAACCCUGACCGAGCAACGCCGCGUGAGUGAAGAAGGUUUUCGGAUCGUAAAGCUCUGUUGUUAAGGAAGAACGAGUGUGAGAAUGGAAAGUUCAUGCUGUGACGGUACUUAACCAGAAAGGGACGGCUAACUACGUGCCAGCAGCCGCGGUAAUACGUAGGUCCCGAGCGUUGUCCGGAUUAAUUGGGCGUAAAGCGAGCGCAGGCGGUCAAUUAAGUCUGAUGUGAAAGCCCCCGGCUCAACCGGGGAGGGUCAUUGGAAACUGGUUGACUUGAGUGCAGAAGAGGAGAGUGGAAUUCCAUGUGUAGCGGUGAAAUGCGUAGAUAUAUGGAGGAACACCAGUGGCGAAGGCGACUCUCUGGUCUGUAACUGACGCUGAGGCUCGAAAGCGUGGGUAGCAAACAGG
rnacentral:rRNA from 1 species